UACGGAGGGGGCUAGCGUUGUUCGGAAUUACUGGGCGUAAAGCGCACGUAGGCGGCGAUUUAAGUCAGAGGUGAAAGCCCGGGGCUCAACCCCGGAAUUGCCUUUGAGACUGGAUUGCUAGAAUCUUGGAGAGGCGGGUGGAAUUCCGAGUGUAGAGGUGAAAUUCGUUAGAUAUUCGGAAGAACACCAGUGGCGAAGGCGGCCCGCUGGACAAGUAUUGACGCUGAGGUGCGAAAGCGUGGGGAGCAAACAGG
rnacentral:rRNA from 1 species